rnacentral:rRNA from 1 species
CGUGCCUAACACAUGCAAGUCGAACGAAGCAUAGAGAUUAGAUUCUUCGGAUUGAAGAUUUUAUGACUUAGUGGCGAACGGGUGAGUAACGCGUGGGUAACCUGCCUCAUGCAGGGGGAUAACAAUUAGAAAUGAUUGCUAAUACCGCAUAAGACCGCAGAACCGCAUGGUUGAGCGGCCAAAGAUUUAUCGGCAUGAGAUGGACCCGCGUCUGAUUAGUUAGUUGGUGGGGUAACGGCCUACCAAGACGAUGAUCAGUAGCCGACCUGAGAGGGUGACCGGCCACAUUGGGACUGAGACACGGCCCAAACUCCUACGGGAGGCAGCAGUGGGGAAUAUUGCACAAUGGGGGAAACCCUGAUGCAAGCGACGCCGCGUGAGUGAAGAAGUAUUUCGGUAUGUAAAGCUCCUUAAGCAGGGGAAGAUGAUGACGGUACCUGCAGAAUAAGCACCGGCUAAAUACGUGCCAGCCGCCGC